AUGAUAACAAAUGAAGAAGCCCGUGUAAAUUGUUUGAACGAGAAAUUGGCUACGAUAAUAUCAUUAGGACAAGGCAAUGCAGUUGAUCCUGCUGCUCAUUAUGCUGCAGAAUACCUAUGUUAUUGUUAUAGACUUGAAGAGAAAAAUAUCUCUGCCCAAAGACAAUUGAAGAGAAAAACAUGA